AACGAACGCUGGCGGCAGGCUUAACACAUGCAAGUCGAGCGCCCCGCAAGGGGAGCGGCAGACGGGUGAGUAACGCGUGGGAAUCUACCCAAUACUACGGAAUAGCUCCGGGAAACUGGAAUUAAUUCCGUAUGUGCCCUACGGGGGAAAGAUUUAUCGGUAUUGGAUGAGCCCGCGUUGGAUUAGCUAGUUGGUGGGGUAAUGGCCUACCAAGGCGACGAUCCAUAGCUGGUCUGAGAGGAUGAUCAGCCACACUGGGACUGAGACACGGCCCAGACUCCUACGGGAGGCAGCAGUGGGGAAUAUUGGACAAUGGGCGAAAGCCUGAUCCAGCCAUGCCGCGUGAGUGAUGAAGGGCCUUAGGGUUGUAAAGCUCUUUUAGCAGGGAAGAUAAUGACGGUACCUGAGAAAAAUGCCCCCGGCUAACUUUCGUGCCAGCAGCCGCGGUAAUACGAAGGGGGCUAGCGUUGUUCGGAUUACUGGGCGUAAAGCGCACGUAGGCGGAUCGUUAAGUCGGGGGUGAAAUCCUGGAGCUCAACUCCAGGAACUGCCUUCGAUACUGGCGAUCUUGAGUCCGGAAGAGGUGAGUGGAACUCCUAGUGUAGAGGUGGAAUUCGUAG
rnacentral:rRNA from 1 species